GACGAACGCUGGCGGCGUGCUUAACACAUGCAAGUCGAACGGAAAGGCCCGGCUUUGGUGGGGUGCUCGAGUUGCGAACGGGUGAGUAACACGUGAGUAACCUGCCCUUGACUGUGGGAUAACUUCAGAAAACUGGGGCUAAUACCGGCUAGGAGCUCCUGCUGCAUGGUGGGGGUGGGAAAGUUUCGGCGGUUGGGGGUGGACUCGCGGCUUAUCAGCUUGUUGGUGGGGUAGUGGCUUACCAAGGCUUUGACGGGUAGCCGGCCUGCGAGGGUGACCGGCCACAUUGGGACUGAGCUACGGCCCAGCCUCGUACGGGAGGCAGCAGUGGGGAAUAUUGCACAAUGGGCGGAAGCCUGAUGUAGCACCGCCGCGUGCGGGAUGACGGCCUUCGGGUUGUAAACCGAUUUCGCCUGUGACGAAGCGUGAGUGACGGUAAUGGGUAAAGAAGCACCGGCUAACUACGUG
rnacentral:rRNA from 1 species